rnacentral:tRNA from 1 species
CCGACCUUAGCUCAGUUGGAAGUAGCGCAAGACUGUAAAUCUUGAGGUCGCCCGUUCGAACCGGGCAGGUCGGA